rnacentral:lncRNA from 1 species
UGGGACAUGGUUUAGUAUGUUGCACACUGCAAUCAAUGCGUGACCUCAAAACAAUUUUGAGAGAUUUACAUGGCUUGUUAUUAAUCGCAUUAUAUGUAAUAAUUAACGAUUCCUCCUUUUAGAUACACCACCUUGCUGCAGUGUAUAUGAAGGAGUCCACUGCAAGAGAAUCUCAUUCUCUCUUAGAUAAUCUAAAUUUCAUCUUUAAGAUACUCUCACUUGAUCGAAUCUUAAUGUGUGAGUAUCUUUACCUAUUUGUUUCUCUAAUUCUAGUGUGAAUCCCUUGAACUUUUCAAGAGUUUCAUGUUUGAGCUUUCAUCAAGUGUACAUGAUCAUUGAUGAAAUAAGAGAAACAUUAUCUGACAUAAAUUGAUACGAAUCCAUAUGCAUCACCAUGCAUUAGACCAGUAAUUAUGCUGG